CAGCUGCCAGUUAGAAAUUUGUAUUUCUUUGCAAAUUUCUAAAUUCUUUUUAUUUAUUUAUAUCAUUUAUAUACAUUCCUUGCUGACUUGCUUGUUUAUUCGACAAACACUCGAGUUUUGUUUGCAAAAUUAAUGUGAAUAACUGCAAAAAAUAAGUUAUUAUUGGAUCGGAUGCACCAAAAGAGCAACUGCUGACACAUCCGAACACAUGCUGACAAAUGCUCGGCAUGCACGACUGCAACAUACCCUAUAUAACAGCAAAAUCGAAGUGCUUUCAUGAACAACAUCAAGAGGGUAUUUAAAGGCGGAUUUCAGCAUUGCAUUGCGACUUAAUAAACGGAAGUGUAACCAUAUCAACGACAGCAACAGCAACAACAAUAACAACAACAACAACGCGAAGCAUUCUUAUUAGUCCAUCGAUAAUACACGAAGGAUAUUUAAUUAUUAAUUGAAAAUUAUGCAGACCAAUGCGCUUUUAACCAGUCGAAAAAGGUUGCCAUUAAAAUUACAGAGACAGAUAUAUAUAACAUACAAUACAUAUAUAUAACUUGAUAUCUGGCAUGCGGUUGCAGAGCAGUUGCUCUGUGUAUGUAUGAAAUUAUUGUGAAUUUUAAUAAAAUUGCCGAGUGCGCUCUGAAAUUGACAGCCGCAUAAUUUGCCUUUUUGUGGUCUCAGAUGAGAGUUGAUGCCGCCGUUGUCGCUGCAGUAACUUUAAAUGAUUAAUUGUUAAU